UCGAUGACCCGCAGGUCGGCAAUCUUCUGGCCUUCAGCCGACCCCACGGUACCGGCAGUGGCAGCCAUCUUGGGAGAGCGGCGCGCGGCUGAGGCAGCGAGCAGGCUGAGGGCAGCGGCGGCGGCGCCAACUUCCUCCCAGGCCUCGGCCUAAGUGAGAACUCGCCUUCACAACCAACCCAUGUCCAGAUGGACUUACUGCGUGAAAGAGGAAAGAACCUACAGAAAAGGAUACUGUGUUACUAAGGAAGUUUCACGUGGCAUAAUGUUGAGGUCCCUCUCAUUAUCAUUAUGGAUGCCUUUCUCUGGAAGCACUCCAUAUUUUCAGUGUUCCUGUCU